rnacentral:rRNA from 1 species
GAUGAACGCUAGCUACAGGCUUAACACAUGCAAGUCGAGGGGCGAGCAUGAAGGAAGCUUGCUUCCUUUGAUGGCGACCGGCGCACGGGUGAGUAACGCGUAUCGAACCUGCCCUGUACACGGGAACAGCCUUGCGAAAGUAAGAUUAAUGCCCGAUGUUGAGAUUCCGCCGCAUGACGGAGUUUCCAAAGAUUUAUCGGUACAGGAUGGCGAUGCGUCCCAUUAGCUUGUUGGCGGGGUAACGGCCCACCAAGGCGACGAUGGGUAGGGGUUCUGAGAGGAAGGUCCCCCACAUUGGAACUGAGACACGGUCCAAACUCCUACGGGAGGCAGCAGUGAGGAAUAUUGGUCAAUGGUCGCGAGACUGAAACCAGCCAAGUAGCGUGCAGGAUGACGGCCCUCCGGGUUGUAAAACUGCUUUUAGUUGGGAAUAAAAGGGCGUACGUGUACGUCGUAUUGUAUGUACCAUCAGAAAAAGGACCGGCUAAAUUCCGUGCCAGCCGCCGCCGUAAC